ACAGCAACACUUUGAACACCUUACAAUCAGAAUGUUGGACUUAACAUAAAAAUAAGUAUUUACAAUCAACAAAUGUGUUUCCAUGUGUUUUUGUCUGUGUGUGCCGAGACUAUGCUGUUUCCCCUCCAUCCUGUGCCCUUGUUUGUCGUGCUUGCCGAUGUGUGUCAGAGGUAUGAAAUGCUGCCAAUGCUUAGUGGUGAGCUUCGAAGUGGAAGAUGAGUACAGCAAAACCAUAGACCUGAAGGCCAGGCCUUCGCAGCCAAUCCACCAUCCCAUAUAGUAGCUACGUUCAAGUGAAUUUGUAAAUAAAUAACAAUAUUA